ACUAUCAUUAACUGAAUCCAUAGGUUAAUGAGGCGAACCGGGGGAACUGAAACAUCUAAGUACCCCGAGGAAAAGAAAUCAACCGAGAUUCCCCCAGUAGCGGCGAGCGAACGGGGAGGAGCCCAGAGCCUGAAUCAGCAUGUGUGUUAGUGGAAGCGUCUGGAAAGGCGCGCGAUACAGGGUGACAGCCCCGUACACAAAAGCGCAUGUGCUGUGAGCUCGAUGAGUAGGGCGGGACACGUGGUAUCCUGUCUGAAUAUGGGGGGACCAUCCUCCAAGGCUAAAUACUCCUGACUGACCGAUAGUGAACCAGUACCGUGAGGGAAAGGCGAAAAGAACCCCGGCGAGGGGAGUGAAAAAGAACCUGAAACCGUGUACGUACAAGCAGUGGGAGCA
rnacentral:rRNA from 1 species